rnacentral:sRNA from 1 species
AUUAAUGUCGCUGCUAUUGUGGGGGGAUGUAUUGCUGCUUGUUUAGCGGUGAUAAUUAUCAUAGCUAUUUGUUAUGUCAAAAGAAAAUACGAAAUAAAUUUAAUAUGUAAGAAAAAAGAUU